CGCGGAGUGGAGCAGUUGGUAGCUCGCCAGGCUCAUAACCUGGAGGUCGUUGGUUCGAGUCCGGCCUCCGCAACCA
rnacentral:tRNA from 1 species